AUCAAUCCAAUUAUUCAAAUUUGUAUUACAAUUUACAACUAUUAGUAGAGUGCCUAAUUUACGCAGCCACCUUCUAGGAAGGGUUCUGUUUCAACUAAGCCUCGAAUGUAAUACUAAUAGUGGUAUAGUCCUACAAAGCCAUUCUCUAACUCAACUAUAGAUUGACCGUUAUCAACUACUGGUCUUGGUAAAGCUCGUUGACGAUCUUGAAGUUCCAUGCCGUCGUCACUAUCAUAUCCAAUGGCUGAAUCUAUGAAAAGUUCAUAUUGACUACUUAACUUUGGAAGUCCUAGAUUUCUCCGCUCAGCAUUUAUCUAAUCUCUAAACAACACCGAUAUUUCUAAACUGUCUUCUGCUAACGAAUAUCUGUGGCCUCCAAUUUGAAAUCUUGCCGCACUGAAAGCGGCCUUCGAAGCUACU
rnacentral:lncRNA from 1 species